rnacentral:rRNA from 1 species
UGGGGAAUAUUGCACAAUGGGGGAAACCCGUAGAUGCAGCGACGCCGCGUGAUUGAAGAAGUAUUUCGGUAUGUAAAGAUCUAUCAGCAAGGAAGAAAAUAGACGGUACUUGACUAAGAAGCCCCGGCUAACUACGUGCCAGCAGCCGCGGUAAUACGUAGGGGGCAAGCGUUAUCCGGAUUUACUGGGUGUAAAGGGAGCGUAGGCGGUCUGGCAAGCCAGAAGUGAAAGCCCGGGGCUUAACCCCGGGACUGCUUUUGGAACUGUUAGACUAGAGUGUCGGAGAGGUAAGUGGAAUUCCUAGUGUAGCGGUGAAAUGCGUAGAUAUUAGGAGGAACACCAGUGGCGAAGGCGGCUUACUGGACGAUAACUGACGCUGAGGCUCGAAAGCGUGGGGAGC